rnacentral:rRNA from 1 species
UGCAGUCGAGCGCGCCUUUCGGGGUGAGCGGCGGACGGGUUAGUAACGCGUGGGAAUAUACCCUUUGGUACGGAAUAGCCUCUGGAAACGGAGAGUAAUACCGUAUGUGCCCUUCGGGGGAAAGAUUUAUCGCCAAAGGAUUAGCCCGCGUUAGAUUAGGUAGUUGGUGGGGUAAUGGCCUACCAAGCCUACGAUCUAUAGCUGGUUUUAGAGGAUGAUCAGCAACACUGGGACUGAGACACGGCCCAGACUCCUACGGGAGGCAGCAGUGGGGAAUCUUGGACAAUGGGGGCAACCCUGAUCCAGCCAUGCCGCGUGAGUGAAGAAGGCCCUAGGGUCGUAAAGCUCUUUCGCCUGUGAAGAUAAUGACGGUAGCAGGUAAAGAAACCCCGGCUAACUCCGUGCCAGCAGCCGCGGUAAUACGGAGGGGGUUAGCGUUGUUCGGAAUUACUGGGCGUAAAGCGCACGUAGGCGGAUCGGAAAGUUGGGGGUGAAAUCCCGGGGCUCAACCCCGGAACUGCCUCCAAAACUAUCGGUCUAGAGUUCGAGAGAGGUGAGUGGAAUUCCGAGUGUAGAGGUGAAAUUCGUAGAUAUUCGGAGGAACACCAGUGGCGAAGGCGGCUCACUGGCUCGAUACUGACGCUGANGUGCGAAAGUGUGNGGAGCAAACAGGAUUAGAUACCCUGGUAGUCCACACCGUAAACGAUGAAUGCCAGUCGUCGGGUAGCAUGCUAUUCGGUGGCACACCUAACGGAUUAAGCAUUCCGCCUGGGGAGUANNGUCGCAAGAUUAAAACUCAAAGGAAUUGANNGGGCCCNCACAAGCGGUGGANCNUGUGG